rnacentral:tmRNA from 1 species
CGACUUCCAUGUGGCGCGCCAGCGCCCUAUAUUACGACUCGUCCGGGCAACCGGACUAUGGCGAUAAACGCGCAGAGAUAGGCGGAUCGGACCCGGGUGCGAUGCCCGGCGGCUCCACCAGCCUUCAUGUUUCGAGGCCUCGGCUAAGGAGCGAUUGAAGGGCGAACCUCGUUUGGGUUCGUGUUGAGGGGCCGAAAUAGGAUCGACGGACGUUGAAGGCUGUUGCUUUUGCUCGGGUGGUCCCGUCACAGGCCAAACAGCAUAGUUGCAAACGACAACAACGCUGAGGAAUUCGCCCUCGCUGCGUAAGCAGUGCGGAGUGUUCCGAACCUAAGUCCUACUGAGUAGCAUCACUAGGCGGGGCCCCCCGGCGCCCGGCAACAGAAGCCGGGGAUU